UUUCCACUUUCCUCAUCUCUGCAGAAGCAAAGUUUGGGAUUCAGUUUAAGGAUUUCGAUCUGAAGCUGAAGAUAAAAUAUAAGUGAUUUGUGUUUCGAUUUUUGUUUGAAUCCGUUAUUUUCUCAUCUCUUUCCACUUUCUUCAUCUCUACAGAAGCGAAUUCAGGGUUUCAGCCUGGAAGUGAAAUUUGGGUUUCAGUUUGAUGGUUUGAGGGUUUCGAUCCGAAACUGAAGAUAAAAGAAUUGGUGUUUGUUGUGGGUGAUAUUGAGAUUGGAUACGGUGUUGGAGCUAUUGGUAGUUGAUGUGAGACUGCAGGGAGCUUGAGUUUGCUGUGACCGUGUGGUUGAGCCGUGAAGAAGAUGAUGUAACUGCAUGUUAAGGUGAUUGCAACGAUGGUUAGAAUGGUUUUGUGCAGCAGUUGGUGUCAUCAAGUUGCAACAGAUGAUAUGAAUCCAUGACAGGGAGUGUUGGGUUUGAGCUGAGAGUUUGGUUUGUUUUGAGUCUGUUUUGUGCAAGCCGAAGCAAAUAUGAUGGUCAAGAAUUUUCAAUCAAGAUGCCAAACGUUUAAUUGGUAGGAGAUUCAGUGACACCACUGUCCAACGUGAUAUAAAGUACUGGCCAUUCGAGGUUCUCUCUGAUCUAGCUGCCGAGGAAAUUUCAUCCACAGUCUUGAUUCAGAUGCGUGAGAUUGCUGAGGCAUACCUUG